CAAGCAUGAAAAGGGAUCGGUGGAAACUCUUUUAGCACCUCACUACCUCACUUGAUCAGCCACACAUGAGAGAGAGUCCCAGGUACUUGAGACUCUAUGGAUCCUAUCUAAUGUGGGUCCAAUCUGAGUCUAAUUCGAACAUGAUUCGAACCAAACUCGAAGAGACUAUCAAUCCUAAUCUCAUUAGGAUUCUGGUUCAAGUCAAACUUGAAUUUUUAACCCAAUC
rnacentral:lncRNA from 1 species